rnacentral:rRNA from 1 species
AACGCUGGCGGCGUGCUUAACACAUGCAAGUCGAACGAUGAUGCCCAGCUUGCUGGGCGGAUUAGUGGCGAACCGGUGAGUAACACGUGGGUGAUCUGCCCUGCACUUCGGGAUAAGCCUGGGAAACUGGGUGUAAUACCGGAUAUGACCACAGGAUGCAUGUUUUGUGGUGGAAAGGUUUACUGGUGCAGGAUGAGCCCGCGGCCUAUCAGCUUGUUGGUGGGGUAAUGGCCUACCAAGGCGACGACGGGUAGCCGGCCUGAGAGGGCGACCGGCCACACUGGGACUGAGACACGGCCCAGACUCUACGGGAGGCAGCAGUGGGGAAUAUUGCACAAUGGGCGAAAGCCUGAUGCAGCGACGCCGCGUGAGGGAUGACGGCUUCWGGUUGUAAACCUCUUUCAGCAGGGACGAAGCGCAAGUGACUGUACCUGCAGAAGAAGCACCGGCUAACUACGUGCCAGCAGCCGCGGUAAUACGUAGGGUGCGAGCGUUGUCCGGAAUUACUGGGCGUAAAGAGUUCGUAGGCGGUUUGUCGCGUCGUGUGUGAAAUCCCGCAGCUCAACUGCGGGCUUGCAGGCGAUACGGGCAGACUUGAGUACUGCAGGGGAGACUGGAAUUCCUGGUGUAGCGGUGAAAUGCGCAGAUAUCAGGAGGAACACCGGUGGCGAAGGCGGGUCUCUGGGCAGUAACUGACGCUGAGGAACGAAAGCGUGGGUAGCGAACAGGAUUAGAUACCCUGGUAGUCCACGCGUAAACGGUGGGCGCUAGGUGUGGGUUUCCUUCACGGAUCCGUGCCGUAUGACGCAUUAAGCG